UUGCAGGUUUAAGUUACAAUGUGGCUGUGAAGUGCCUAUGUUGUCGUUCCCCCUGCUCAAAAGAAAUGUUUCCUACUAUCCCUGUCUAACUUGUCUAUAGUAAGACAGGGACGCUUGGUCUCAAACAU
ensembl:snoRNA SNORA63 Small nucleolar RNA SNORA63